GUGAAUCAUCAAAUUUUUGAACGCAAAUUGCACUCUCCUCGGAGAGGAUGCCUGUUUGAGUGUCAGCCUAUAAAAAAUCGACAUCGUUGCUGUUUCACGGUUACGCUCGUCGGAAAGUGGGUCAUCUUAAAUCCUUUUGGUUUUAAGCGACUUAAAAUUUUCUUUUUGGUUCCAUUCACGUUUCUAAUCUUUAUUUCUUUACACGUUUAAGGGUAUCAGUUUUUAUUAGACGUCACCAUCAUAUC
rnacentral:misc_RNA from 1 species